GGGAUCAGAUCAGCCUGUCAAAUCUCUGUCUUACAGACACACAGAAGCACAAGCUGACUUAAGUCUAAAGAGCUGCAAGACUAGACUAAAUGCUUAAUUACUGUAGUCGGAUUAGGGUUCAGUGGAUAUAUUCAGACUGACCCUGUCUCUGUGGUGAAGUAUUCAGCCCAUUUAUCUCUCUUGCAGGUCACAUAUUAACCCCCUCUCUCUGGCAGGUCACAUAUUAACCCCCUCUCUCUGGUACGUAACAUAUUAACCCCCUCUGUCUGGCAGGUAACAUAUUAACCCCCUCUCUCUGGCAGGUAACAUAUUAACCCCCUCUCUCUUGCAGGUAACAUAUUAACCCCCUCUCUCUGGCAGGUAACAUAUUAAACCCCUCUCUCUUGCAGGUAACAUUUUAACCCCCUCUCUCUGGCAGGUAACAUAUUAAACCCCUCUCUCUGGCAGGUAACAUAUUAAACCCCUCUCUCUUGCAGGUAACAUUUUAACCCCCUCUCUCUGGCAGGUAACAUAUUAAACCCCUCUCUCUGGCAGGUAACAUAUUAACCCCCUCUCUCUGGCAGGUAACAUUUUAGGCCCAGGUCUGACAGAAUCUGUGCAGAAGAUCUUGGUGCUGCUUUAGGCCCUCCUUGGUUGGGGACAGAAGCACCAGAUCAUCAGUAGACAUUUGACUUCAGAUUCUAGUAGGGUGAGGCUGGGUGCUGCCGACUGUUCUAGUGCCCUCGCCAAUACCUUGAUAUGUAUGUUGAAGAGGGUGGGGCUUAAGCUGCAUCCCUGUCUCACCCCCGGCCCCGUGGGAAGUAAUUCGUUUUUUUUUGCCAAUUUUAACCACACACUUGUUGUUUGUUUCAGUUGUGUAGCAGGUCCUGAAAGCUUUUUUUGAAAUCAACAAAGCAUGAGAAGGCUUUGCUUUUGUUUUGUCUUGUUUGUUUGUCAAUUAGGGUGUGCAGGGUGAAUACGUGGUCUGUCGUAUGGUAAUUUGGUAAAAAGCCAAUUUGACAUUUGCUCAGUACAUUGUUUUCGCCGAGGAAAUGUAUGAGUCUGCUGUUAAUGGUAAUGCAGAAGAUUUUCCCAAGGUUGCUGUUGACGUAAUUCCCCCCGGUAGUUAUUGGGGUCAAAUUGAACUCCACUUUUGUGGAUUGGGCUGAUCAGUCCUUUGUUCCAAAUACUGGGGAAGAUGCCAGAGCUGAGGAUGAUGUUAAAGAGUUCAAGUGUAGCCAUUUGGAAUUUAUGGUCUAUAUUUUAUCAUUUAAUUUAGGAUAUCAUCAACCCCACAAGCCUUUUUGGGUUGGAGGGUUUGUAUUUUGUUCUGCAGUUCAUCCAAUGUAAUUGGAGAAUCCAGUAGGUUCUGGUAGUCUUUAAUAAUUGAUUAAAAUGUUUGUAUUUGAUGUAAACUCAACAAAAUAAGAAACGUCCUCAGUGUCAACUGUGUUUAUUUUCAGCAAACUUAACAUGUGUAAAUAUUUGUAUGACCAUAACAAGAUUCAACAACUGAGACACAAAGUGAAGAAGUUCCACAGACAUGUGACUAACAGAAAUGGAAUUAUGUGUCCCUGAACAAAGGCGGGGGUCAAAAUCCAAAG
ensembl:lncRNA